rnacentral:piRNA from 1 species
UGUGAUAGAAACUGUUUAAAA